CAAAAAGAAGCACAACAUUUUAGUUUGCUCAUCUUUAAAGCAAGAAAUGCUAUCUUGCAAUCUAAAGAGAAGCAAUAGUAUUAUCUUGCCUAUCUCAAGAAGUAAAACUUGCAACUUGCACAUUACAAAAGGAAGUAAGAAUCGCUAGCUUGCACACUUCAACAAGAAAGUUAUCUUGCAUUUGCUUUCGAAAUAUUACUAGCUUACACCUUCUAAAAAGAAAAAAAAUUAAAAAAAAAAUUGCUAGCUUGUAUGUUGUAAACUUGCUAUC
rnacentral:lncRNA from 1 species